rnacentral:rRNA from 1 species
CCCUUAGAUGUUCUGGGCUGCACGCGCGCUACACUGACCAGUGCAACAAGCAUCCGUCCUUGGCCGACAGGCUCGGGCAAUCUUUGAACGCUGGUCGUGAUGGGGAUAGACUUUUGCAAUUUUUGGUCUUCAACGAGGAAUUCCUAGUAAACGCAAGUCAUCAACUUGCAUUGAUUACGUCCCUGCCCUUUGUACACACCGCCCGUCGCACCUACCGAUUGAAUGGUCCGGUGAAGCCUCCGGAUUGGCGCGCACCUCGGUGCCGCCGAGAAGUUGGCUAAACCUUACCAUUUAGAGGAAGGUGAAGUCGUANCA